CCUCAGAGGCUGACUUCUACAGCCAUUUGUGCUGCUGGGACUGCCUGAGAAGAUCCUGACUACUACGAACUACAGUGCCGUCUCCUCCUCUCCCGAGUCCCGGCCCAGCUCCGCCUCCAGCCUGCAGGGGUUUUUUUUUUUUUUUUUUUUAGAAAAGGGCGUGGUCAUCGGCGGGUCCGCGAUUAGGCCACACCCCCGACUUUUCCUGGGGCCUGGUGGCGGUCGUCUGUCUGUUUCCCGUCCUAUGCCAGCCGACUCUGUGGGGACCUGGAGAGACCUGCGGCAUUGUGGUGCAAUGAAGUGACAUGGAGCACCGUUGGUGCAUUACUAGCAGCAGGAAGCAGUCCCGCCAAUCCAGCCCAUCCCUCACCUUUUCUUCCUCUCUCUGACCCCGCUGCUGCCGGCACUGAUAAGAAGGGGGACCUGCCGCUGCCCAAGAAUUCUACCCGAUUGUGGAUCUGCGGGUGGGGAAAGGGAUAUCCUAUUCCCCCAAAUAUACCUUGAUAUGAGGAGUCCAGCACACUGAUGGUUGUGUAAGAGCAGACAUGCUUUUGUCAUUAAAAGAGGACAGCCCAGUGGCAUAUUGGUCAGCAUUGCUAUCUCGCAGUGCCGGAAUCAUGAUCUUAGUUCUCAAUCAAGGCCAAGGCGCUAUUUGUGUGAAGUUUGCAUGUUCUCACCAUACAUGUGUGGGUUUCCUCAAGGUACCCCGGCUACUUUCCAUACAUCAAACACAUACUGGCAGGGGUCCUCUCUGACAGCUUGCAAUGUAAAUGACCACACAGGCGCAAUACGGCCGCUGCUGCGUGAACAGGUUGCAGAUGUACGGCAAACUGCGAUGUGGCCGCUUUAUGUGCUCAGCAGAAUUCUGUGUUAUGUAAUAGGGCGGGCUUACUGAGCCCACUGACCCCUUCUGAUGCUAAUAUGUGUGGUUACUGCAUAAUAAUUAGUGAUAUUGAUGUCACAGGGAGCGACACCUGGAGGCUGAUGCUGAUCCUCCCCAGCUGGUGACGGGAGAACCUUAUACAUGGGGGGUCCUCGCUGACCGCGUUAGACAAGUGCAGGAAGAGUCUGAGGUCACUAUAUUACAGGAGACAGGGACUUCCCUAAGCAGAGAGCAAGGGUCUCUGAAACUCAGCUUGCGGACCACUAUGGAGCUGCCAUGGCAAUGCCCGAUGUGAGGGUGCACAACCAAUAGGACCCCAUGUGAUGCCAGUGAAAAGCUUCUGGGAUGAAUGUUAGUACAAUAUUUCAAAACUCUGAAGUUCCAUGAAAGAAUAGAAGACUUGUGCAGAGAGAUCCCCGGUGUCCCCCGAAGCUGUACAUGAAGAUUGUACUUUGGGAGGGAGGCAGGUGUAACAUGAUGGAAGACAACUUACAGAAACAAUUCUAAUAAUCAGAAGGAUAAAGUGCUGCUUCUUAGGCUCACACAAUACUAACAAGAUAUCAUUCUAUGUCCUCACCUUGCACUGGAGAUGGUAAGAGGCCCAUUCCUCAUCAGAAGAUGUUCCAAGUCACCACCACUCGCAUACUCCAUACCAAGGAGCACGUGCUCCUGUUUAUGGGAGAAGCAAUAGUGUUAUUAUACAUGUCAGGAAAGUCAGGGGGGAAAGAGUUGGACCUUGGGGAAUGUCAUCUUCUGACCAAAAUAAGUAAAGAUAAAUGAUAUACAUUAUUCAUUGUUAAACAUGUCCUUCACUUCUUUUCUCCUCAUGGGAAUAUAAUGGACAGUCAUGGGGGGGACAAGGAGAACAGAGAGAGGGCACAGGGACAAAAGGGGCAAAUAAGAAUCUUACUAUACCACAGUCUAUGGAACAUGUUCUAUAAUCGUUUUACAGUGAGUUAGUAACACAUAACACCAAUAAAAUGAUUAUUUUUACACUAAAACAUUAUACCAGGUAGUAAAUUGUCCUACAUGCAAACAUUAAUAGUCAUUGAUGCAUCUAAAACAUAAAACACUGAAUAAUUGCAGAAGAGCUACAAGUGUAUUAGUUGUAGCAGGUGUUAUUAAUAGCAUUGAUCCUCAGACCAUGGAGCACAUGACACAAGGCCAUUCUCACCUCCCUGCAGGAAACAGGGAAGAUGCAUGUGUACCUGAUCCAGAAAUACCACUGUCUCUCUAUCUGUCCUGUCUCGCAUGGUCCAGGGUCUCAGUGUGACUGUCAGCAUUGGCGUGUGCACGGGGGGUGCCUGGUGCGCACAGGCACCCCCUAAUGUCCUCCCGCACAUCACACCUGCUACUACAGCAGCACGCACACAGACUGCGCUGCUCAUCGCUGUCCGGGCUGCCUGUCACACAGUCACCGGCGCUAUCUUUCUCCACUGUGACACCCCCUCCCGUCGCGCCAGACAACCGGUCAGACAGACUCACAGACCGCCUCGCACAGCCACUUAAAUAUACUUAUUGCUGGGGAAAACUUGGUACAGAGCACAGGAGGUUUGUCACUUCAAUAAAUCAGCUGGACAGUUUGGUCCAGCUGAUUUAUUGGUGUGCCGCACUGCCCUGUGUUCUAUCAAUGAAAGGCUGCGGCACUCACAGGUCUUGUAAUCCGUAUGCAGGUUAUAUACUGGUCCUCAUCUUAGCAAGACAUUGUGUAAGGGGCACGACUACUGGUUGGCAUUGUGUAAGUGGCACGACUACUGUGUGGGCAUUGUGUAAGGGGCACAACUACUGUAGGCAUUGUGUAAGGGGCACAACUACUGUGGGCAUUGUGUAAGGGGCACAACUACUGUAGGCAUUGUGUUAGGGGCACAACUACUGUGGGCAUUGUGUAAGGGGCACAACUACUGUGUGGGCAUUGUGUAAGUGGCACUACUACUAUGUGGGCAUUGAUAAGGGGCACUACUACUGUGUGGGCAUAGUGUAAGGGGCACUACUAUGUGGGCAUUGAUAAGGGGCACUACUACUAUGUGGGCAUAGUGUAAGGGGCACUACUAUGUGGGCAUUGAUAAGGGGCACUACUACUAUGUGGGCAUUGAUAAGGGGCACUGAUACUGUGUGGGCAUAGUGUAAGGGGCACUACUACUAUGUGGGCAUUGAUAAGGGGCACUACUACUGUGUGGGCAUAGUGUAAGGGGCACUACUACUAUGUGGGCAUUGAUAAGGGGCACUACUACUGUGUGGGCAUAGUGUAAGGGGCACUACUACUGUGUGGGCAUAGUGUAAGGGGCACUACUACUGUGUGGGCAUUGAUAAGGGGCACUACUACUGUGUGGGCAUUGAUAAGGGGCACUACUACUGUGUGGGCAUAGUGUAAGGGGCACUACUACUAUGUGGGCAUUGAUAAGGGGCACUACUACUGUGUGGGCAUAGUGUAAGGGGCACUACUACUGUGUGGGCAUAGUGUAAGGGGCACUACUACUAUGUGGGCAUUGAUAAGGGGCACUACUACUGUGUGGGCAUAGUGUAAGGGGCACUACUGUGGGCAUUGUGUAAGGGGCACUGAUACUGUGUGGGCAUUGUGUAAGGGGCACUACUACUGUGUGGGCAUUGUGUAAGGGGCACUGAUACUGUGUGGGCAUUGUGUAAGGGGCACUACUACUAUGUGAGGUGGAGGCUGAGAGACAGAGUAAAGGGUGGGAAGCCGUCUGCCCAGGGAGGACAUUUCUUCAGAGGUUCCCCAUAGAGAGAAACCACCAUAGGUGAGGUGCAUAUGUAAUGGAAAGGAAUGCUCCCAGAGUAAUGAGAAACAGGUAUCGUGUCAUUUUGACACUCCCCCAUUUUCAGUGGCCAGGCCUUUUGUGUUAUGUAUUUUAUAUUGCUUUGAGUGCCAAUAGGCUGUGCUAGACACACCCCUCCAGCGGUGCACGCCCUAAUAAAAUAUUCUGCGGACGCCUAUGACUGUCAAAAUUCACCCUCACUGCCGCAGUGAGGCUACGUGUAAGUAAUGACAGCCAUCAGCCAGUAUCAAUCCGCUACACCAGGCCUGGCCAACCUGUGGCUCUCCAGCUGUUGUGAAACUACAAAUCCCA